rnacentral:rRNA from 1 species
UGAAGGAAAGGUGAAAAGGACCCCGGGAGGGGAGUGAAAGAGAACCUGAAACCCUAUGUUUACAAGCAGAUAGAGCGAUUUAAGGCGCGAUAUCGUACUUUUUGUAGAACGGUCCAGCGAGUUAUUGUAUAUGGCGAGGUUAAGUUCUGAAUAAGGAAUGGAGCCGAAGAGAAAUCGAGUCUGAAUAGGGCGAUAUAAGUCAUAUAUAAUAGACCCGAAACCGGGUGACCUAUCCAUGGUCAGGAUGAAGCUGAAGUAAAAUUCAGUGGAGGUCCGAACUGAUUGUCGUUAAAAAGGCACCGGAUGAACUGUGGAUAGCGGAGAAAUUCCAAUCGAACUCGGAGAUAGCUGGUUCUCCUCGAAAUAGCUUUAGGGCUAGCCUUGAGGUAAAAGAAUUAUGGGGGUAGAGCACUGAAUGAGGUAGGGGCCAAACCAGGUUACUGAACUCUAUCAAACUGCGAAUACCAUAAUUAGAAUACUCAGGAGUCAGACUGCGGGAGCUAAGUUCCGUGGUCAAAAGGGAAAGAGCCCAGACCGACAAUUAAGGUCCCAAAGAUAUAGUUAAGUGGAAAACGAUGUGAAUUUGCAUAAACAACCAGGAUGUUGGCUCAGAAGCAGCCACUCAUUCAAAGAGUGCGUAACAGCUCACUGGUCGAGUGAAUUUGCGCGGAAAAUUACCGGGGCUAAACUAUACACCGAAAUUUCGGAUUUACGUAUGAAAAUAUGUAAGUGGUAGAGGAGCAUUCUGUAGUAGGACGAAGUCAAAGCGAAAGCAUUGGUGGACGAGGCAGAAGAGAGAAUGCUGGAAUAAGUAGCGAGAGCAAGGUGAGAAUCCUUGCCGUCGAAAGUCUAAGGUUUCCUGGGGAAGGUUCGUCCGCCCAGGGUAAGUCGGGGCCUAAGGAGAGGCCGAAAGGCGUAUCUGAUGGAUAGCAGGUGGAGAUUCCUGCACUAUAGCUAGUUUUAAAAGAUGCAAGGGACGCAGUAGAGGAAGAUAACCAAGGAAGAGGAAAGACUUGGUCCGCAAGGGAUAGUGAAAAUUAAUAGUAACGAAAUAUCAAGAAUCACACUGACGAGAAAAGCUUGUAGAUAUUAACUAGAAAUACCCGUACCGCAAACCGACACAGGUAGAUGAGGAGAGGAUCCUAAGACGAGCGGGAGAAGCAUUGUUAAGGAACUCGGCAAAAUAACCCCGUAACUUCGGGAGAAGGGGAACCUAAGUAAAAUUAGGUCGCAGAGAAAAGGCCCAAGCAACUGUUUAACAAAAACACAGGUUUCUGCUAAAUCGAAAGAUGAAGUAUAGGAGCUGACGCCUGCCCAGUGCUGGAAGGUUAAGGGAAAGAGUUAGAUGUAAGUCGAAGCUUAGAACUAAAGCCCCAGUGAACGGCGGCCGUAACUAUAACGGUCCUAAGGUAGCGAAAUUCCUUGUCAGGUAAGUUCUGACCCGCACGAAAGGCGUAAUGAUUUGGGCACUGUCUCGACAAUGUACCCGGCGAAAUUGUAGUACUAGUGAAGAUGCUAGUUACCUGCGACAAGACAGAAAGACCCCAUGGAGCUUUACUGCAGUUUGAUACUGGGUUUCGAUAAGUUAUGUACAGGAUAGGUGGGAGACAAAGAAAGAAAGGCGUCAGCUUUUCCGGAGUCACCGUUGGGAUACCACCCUUAAUUUGUUGGAAUUCUAACUAGUGGUCAUGAUCUGGCCAGAGGACAAUGUCAGACGGGCAGUUUGACUGGGGCGGUCGCCUCCAAAAGAGUAACGGAGGCGCCCAAAGGUUCCCUCAGUGCGGACAGAAAUCGCACGAAAGAGUGUAAAGGCAGAAGGGAGCUUAACUGGAAGAUAGACAUAUCGAGCAGAUACGAAAGUAGGGCUUAGUGAUCCGGUGGAUAUUGAAUGGAAAAGCCAUCGCUCAACGGACAAAAGUUACCCUGGGGAUAACAGGCUUAUCUCCCCCAAGAGUUCACAUCGACGGGGAGGUUUGGCACCUCGAUGUCGGCUCAUCGCAUCCUGGGGCUG